rnacentral:rRNA from 1 species
AUUGAACGCUGGCGGCAGGCCUAACACAUGCAAGUCGAACGAGUGGCGGACGGGUGAGUAAUGUCUGGGAAACUGCCCGAUGGAGGGGGAUAACUACUGGAAACGGUAGCUAAUACCGCAUACCAUCGGAUGUGCCCAGAUGGGAUUAGCUAGUAGGUGGGGUAACGGCUCACCUAGGCGACGAUCCCUAGCUGGUCUGAGAGGAUGACCAGCCACACUGGGACUGAGACACGGCCCAGACUCCUACGGGAGGCAGCAGUAGGGAAUCUUCGGCAAUGGACGAAAGUCUGACCGAGCAACGCCGCGUGAGUGAAGAAGGCCUUCGGGUUGUAAAGCACUUUCAGCGGGGAGGCGUUACCCGCAGAAGAAGCACCGGCUAACUCCGUGCCAGCAGCCGCGGUAAUAC